rnacentral:rRNA from 1 species
UGGCCUACGGGGCGCAGCAGUGGGGGAUAUUGCACAAUGGAGGGAACUCUGAUGCAGCGACGCCGCGUGAGGGAAGAAGGUUUUCGGAUUGUAAACCUCUGUCUUCGGUGACGAAACGAGACGGUAGCCGAGGAGGAAGCCACGGCUAACUACGUGCCAGCAACCGCGGUAAUACGUAGGUGGCAAGCGUUGUCCGGAUUUACUGGGUGUAAAGAGCGUGCAGCCGGAGAGACAAGUCAGAUGUGAAAUCCACGGGCUCAACCCGUGAACUGCAUUUGAAUCUGUUUCCCUUGAGUGUCGGAGAG